CCAUGGGGCUGCCGCCUCCCUCCUCUUCCUCCCCCGGCCGCCCCACCACCGCUCCUGAGGGGGCGCAGAGCCCGGGGCCGCCCCCUCAUAGCCGCCCCCAAAUGGCCGCCCCCCAACGGCCGCCCUCCAACGGCCGCCCCCUAACGGUCGCUCCCCAACGGCUGCUCGCGGGCGCGGCGCCCUGAGGCGAGGAGAGGCGAGGGGAGCUGCGGGGGUCGCCGCCGCCUCAGCGCCCUUGGGGGGGCUGUGGGGAGCCCCGGGGCGGCGAGUGAAGGAGACACGUUAGGAAGUUCGUUAGCUUGGGGGGAAAUAAAGAUAAAAAUGCAUAAGAGGUUCUCCGUCUAUUUCUGUAACUAAACUUUUUGUCUCCUCCAUCAUCUGAAAAGGCCGUUUGCUGCUUCUUGCCACUUCAGAUUAUCGGGGCGUCUCACACUGGUUUUGGUGUUUGCAAGGUGUGAGGCUGUCUGGGCAGUGUCACUUCUUCGGCAACAUCUGCAUAUAUAACAGACGCAGUCCCUCAGUUUUCUGUCGUCACAGAUGACAUCUUGUCUUUUCAUCUUACCCUAUGCGAUGCUAUGCAAUGGGUGUGUUACAAUGCUCUUGGUGCUCUCUUGCACCUUAUUUCUUGAAUGCCAAAAAAAUAAUUUUCUUUCAAGAAUUGAAAGUAACUGGAAUCUAAUAGUCAGAUUCUGUUGUCACCUUCUUUUCCACGCAUCUCUGUAUUUUUAACUAGAAGUAUAACCAAAGGGAACAAUGCUUAUUUUGCUAUUGUAAAAAUAAAUUGUGUGUCUCAACCCAAAUACAGGGGACUUCACAUUACGUUUCACAGGACAAAUGCAAAGACAGACAUUACUAGAACCGGUCCUUACAUUCCGCAACUUUUUAUUGGCAAUACGCAGAAUCUCCAGUACCACCUGAGGGUUAUUUGUAUCACAGCACAUGGCACUCUUCUGCCUGGCCCAGCCCUUGGUGUGUGGUUUGGCACAUCUCACCUCAAAGGAGACAAGAGCCUCUUUGGGGCCACCGUAAACCAGUACAACGAUGUACUUUACAUUAGUAGGCCCAUUUAAUCACUUAAUAUUUUCCUUUAACAAAGUGGUAGAUUUAAAAUGGUUAUCAGGGUACAGAAGCUCUGUACGGUUGUUUUUGGCUGGUAGUGUUUUAUCUGAGCUGAGUUUUGAGUCCUAGUCCUCAGCAGUACACAGGAGUAACUGAAGAGGGACCAAAACCUCUGUUAGGCUCUCCCAGUUAACUUUGGUUGGAAAUAAACUUCACACAGAGAAUAUUGUAUGGUAGAUUUAGGGAUGGUAUUCAGGUUUCUUUGGCUCCCAAAAUUCAGGACUCCAAAAUCUUAUACUCAAAAUGCAUCCCACAGAGGAGGUUUCAGCAUCAGAGAUCUUGUGUGUCCUGUCAGCCAUUCUGCAUGGCAAACACUGGCCACAGAAAAGUCAUCCCCCCUCAUCCUGAUUUGCAAAGUCAGUGUUAUUUCUGUGCAUGUUUGCUAAUAAAUCAAUGCAAAUCCCACUAUAUAGAUGAUAUUGUAGCAUGAUUCUUUUAGCCCAAAUCCCUUAAUCAAAAGAUCUCCCCCAACCUCUUAAUCAAGUUCAGCACAACAGCAAAUGUGACAGCUGAUAGCAGUUUGCUGUGGUCUGGCAGCUCAUUUACUAGGGAGAAGAGACAAACAACUUUUUUAAUCCUGACUAAAGGCUUGAUCUGAAUUAGUAAAAACGUUCUGAAGCAAAAAUGAAGACCUCUGUCUUCAGGUUUGCAGUAGAGUAACUUCACAAGAGUUGCUCCUGAGUUACUCAUGUGGAAAGGAGGCUUGGUCCCUGUGGUAUCUGGUCUCCCAGACUCAUCCUUGCAGAAAGAGAAGCAGGGCAUGCAGCCUGGGUGAGCACCAAGCUCUGAAUCACCAAAGGCUGCAUGGGGGUCAGGAUUGGGAGCAGCAGGUAUUGAUUCUGCUGCAUUAGAUGGGUGCAUUACUCCCCAGCAUGCCUUUUUGCUUCCUUCCAGUGUUGAAAAGGAGGAAUGGCCUCUUCAGGGAGCCUGAAAUAGCUGCAUUAGUGCUUUGGAGGCCACAGUUUAUAGAGCUGGACACAGAUCAUAAGGGAGGCUCGUUAAAUUCUCUCAUACCAUACGGGUAUGUAAUGCACACAUGCUUCGGUGCCUCAUCCCCCAGUUUGUCCCCUUGCCAUCUCUGGCAGGUAAUCUCAAUAGCAGAAACAGGUAAACGACUGAUUGUUGGCUAGGAUAUACACAAAUAUCUAUACUCAGGGGUGGGAAGUCAAUUGUUUCUCAACAUAUAAUGGCAUAAUUCCAUAUACUGAAAAAGUAAAAUGCUUUGUCCCCUGGACAUCAGGUCAGCCACUCAGAUUCAACUAGUUAAGUGUGCAACAAGAAGUAACAUGAAGCUGUAACUCACUUUUUGCAGUUCAUCCUGAUAACUGAAGCCGUUGACUCUCUUUCUCCAAGUCCUUACCUGAACUCCCUCCCUUCCUCUGGCUGGCAACCUGUAGAUGCACAGCAGGCUCCCACAAAGUGAUGGACCCAGGUUUUCUCUUUCAACUGAUACCUUUGCCCACCUACUUUGUGUAUUUCUCCCUAUCAUCCAGAAAAAAAGAAAAUAAAUGUGAAUUCAUUUUAAAACUAAGAAGGUAUUAUGUUCCUUCCUUUACAAAAAUUGCAAAAACCAGCAGAUCUCCAAAGUUCAACAUCCAGCUCCCAAUUCAUCGUCUGUGAGGGAGGCCACUUGUCCUUGCCCAG